rnacentral:rRNA from 1 species
GACGAACGCUGGCGGCGUGCCUAAUACAUGCAAGUCGAACGCAGUGGGGACGGGUGAGUAACACGUGGGUAACCUCCCAUCAGAGGGGAUAACCCUUGGAAACAGGUGCUAACCCGAUACGGAUGGAUGGACCCGCGGUGCAUUAGCUAGUUGGUGGGGUAACUGCUCACCAAGGCCACGAUGCAUAGCCGGACGGAGAGGGUGAUCGGCCACAAUGGAACUGAGACACGGUCCAGACUCCUACGGGAGGCAGCAGUAGGGAAUCUUCGGCAAUGGACGAAAGUCUGACCGAGCAACGCCGCGUGAGUGAAGAAGGUUUUCGGAUCGGAAAGCUCUGUUGUUGGAGAAGCGGUAUCUAACCAGAAAGCCACGGCUAACUACGUGCCAGCAGCCGCGGUAAGAC